rnacentral:rRNA from 1 species
GAUGAACGCUGGCGGCGUGCCUAAUACAUGCAAGUCGAGCGAACAGAUAAGGAGCUUGCUCCUUUGACGUUAGCGGCGGACGGGUGAGUAACACGUGGGUAACCUACCUAUAAGACUGGAAUAACUCCGGGAAACCGGGGCUAAUGCCGGAUAACAUUUAGAACCGCAUGGUUCUAAAGUGAAAGCUAGUUUUGCUAUCACUUAUAGAUGGACCCGCGCCGUAUUAGCUAGCUGGUAAGGUAACGGCUUACCAAGGCAACGAUACGUAGCCGACCUGAGAGGGUGAUCGACCACACUGGAACUGAGACACGGUCCAGACUCCUACGGGAGGCAGCAGUAGGGAAUCUUCCGCAAUGGGCGAAAGCCUGACGGAGCAACGCCGCGUGAGUGAUGAAGGUCUUCGGAUCGUAAAACUCUGUUAUUAGGGAAGAACAAAUGUGUAAGUAACUGUGCACGUCUUGACGGUACCUAAUCAGAAAGCCACGGCUAACUACGUG